rnacentral:rRNA from 1 species
CAGGCUGCUGCAACUGUUUAUUAAAAACACAGCACUCUGCAAACACGAAAGUGGACGUAUAGGGUGUGAUGCCUGCCCGGUGCUGGAAGGUUAAAUGAUGGGGUUAGCGUAAGCGAAGCUCUUGAUUGAAGCCCCAGUAAACGGCGGCCGUAACUAUAACGGUCCUAAGGUAGCGAAAUUCCUUGUCGGGUAAGUUCCGACCUGCACGAAUGGCAUAAUGAUGGCCACGCUGUCUCCAGCAGAGACUCAGUGAAAUCGAAAUCGCAGUGAAGAUGCUGUGUACCCGCGGCUAGACGGUAAGACCCCGUGAACCUUUACUACAGCUUUACAUUGAACUUUGACCUAACUUGUGUAGGAUAGGUGGGAGGCUUUGAAGCAGAUACGCCAGUAUUUGUGGAGCCAACCUUGAAAUACCACCCUGGUUAUGUUGGGGUUCUAACUUAGGAUUAACAAAUCCAAGGACAAUGUAUGGUGGGUAGUUUGACUGGGGCGGUCUCCUCCUAAAGAGUAACGGAGGAGUACGAAGGUGCGCUCAGAACGGUCGGAAAUCGUUCAAAGAGUAUAAAGGCAAAAGCGCGCUUAACUGCGAGACCCACAAGUCGAGCAGGUACGAAAGUAGGUCUUAGUGAUCCGGUGGUUCUGUAUGGAAGGGCCAUCGCUCAACGGAUAAAAGGUACUCUGGGGAUAACAGGCUGAUACCGCCCAAGAGUUCAUAUCGACGGCGGUGUUUGGCACCUCGAUGUCGGCUCAUCUCAUCCUGGGGCUGAAGCAGGUCCCAAGGGUAUGGCUGUUCGCCAUUUAAAGAGGUACGCGAGCUGGGUUUAGAACGUCGUGAGACAGUUCGGUCCCUAUCUACCGUGGGCGUUGGAAAUUUGAGAGGAUCUGCUCCUAGUACGAGAGGACCAGAGUGGACGAACCUCUGGUGUUUCGGUUG